rnacentral:rRNA from 1 species
ACAGAAGGGAGCUUGCUCCCUGAUGUUAGCGGCGGACGGGUGAGUAACACGUGGGUAACCUGCCUGUAAGACUGGGAUAACUCCGGGAAACCGGAGCUAAUACCGGAUAGUUCCUUGAACCGCAUGGUUCAAGGAUGAAAGACGGUUUCGGCUGUCACUUACAGAUGGACCCGCGGCGCAUUAGCUAGUUGGUGGGGUAAUGGCUCACCAAGGCGACGAUGCGUAGCCGACCUGAGAGGGUGAUCGGCCACACUGGGACUGAGACACGGCCCAGACUCCUACGGGAGGCAGCAGUAGGGAAUCUUCCGCAAUGGACGAAAGUCUGACGGAGCAACGCCGCGUGAGUGAUGAAGGUUUUCGGAUCGUAAAGCUCUGUUGUUAGGGAAGAACAAGUGCGAGAGUAACUGCUCGCACCUUGACGGUACCUAACCAGAAAGCCACGGCUAACUACGUGCCAGCAGCCGCGGUAAUACGUAGGUGGCAAGCGUUGUCCGGAAUUAUUGGGCGUAAAGGGCUCGCAGGCGGUUUCUUAAGUCUGAUGUGAAAGCCCCCGGCUCAACCGGGGAGGGUCAUUGGAAACUGGGAAACUUGAGUGCAGAAGAGGAGAGUGGAAUUCCACGUGUAGCGGUGAAAUGCGUAGAGAUGUGGAGGAACACCAGUGGCGAAGGCGACUCUCUGGUCUGUAACUGACGCUGAGGAGCGAAAGCGUGGGGAGCGAACAGGAUUAGAUACCCUGGUAGUCCACGCCGUAAACGAUGAGUGCUAAGUGUUAGGGGGUUUC